CCAAAGUCAUGGUUAAGUGGGAAACGAUGUGGGAAGGCCCAGACAGCCAGGAUGUUGGCUUAGAAGCAGCCAUCAUUUAAAGAAAGCGUAAUAGCUCACUGGUCGAGUCGGCCUGCGCGGAAGAUGUAACGGGGCUAAACCAUGCACCGAAGCUGCGGCAGCGACGCUUAUGCGUUGUUGGGUAGGGGAGCGUUCUGUAAGCCUGUGAAGGUGUGCUGUGAGGUAUGCUGGAGGUAUCAGAAGUGCGAAUGCUGACAUAAGUAACGAUAAAGCGGGUGAAAAGCCCGCUCGCCGGAAGACCAAGGGUUCCUGUCCAACGUUAAUCGGGGCAGGGUGAGUCGACCCCUAAGGCGAGGCCGAAAGGCGUAGUCGAUGGGAAACAGGUUAAUAUUCCUGUACUUGGUGUUACUGCGAAGGGGGGACGGAGAAGGCUAUGUUGGCCGGGCGACGGUUGUCCCGGUUUAAGCGUGUAGGCUGGUUUUCCAGGCAAAUCCGGAAAA
rnacentral:rRNA from 1 species